rnacentral:rRNA from 1 species
GAUGAACGCUGGCGGCGUGCCUAAUACAUGCAAGUCGAGCGAACGGACGAGAAGCUUGUGUCUUUGAUGUUAGCGGAGGGCGGGAGAGUAACACGUGGAUAACCUACCUAUAAGACGGGGAUAAUUUCGGGAAACCGGCGCAAAUAGCGGAGAAUAUUUUGAACCGCAUGGGGCAAAGGAGAGAGACGGUGUUGGUGUCAGUUAUAGCUGGAUCCGCGCUGGAUGAGCUAGUUGGGAAGGUAACGGCUUACCAAGGCAACGAUGCAUAGCCGACCUGAGAGGGUGAUAGGCCACCUUGGAACUGAGACACCGUCCAGGCUCCUGCGGGAGGCAGCAGUAGGGUAUCUGCCGCAAUGGUCGAGAGCCUGGCGGAGCAGCGCCGCGUGAGUGAUGACGGUCUUCGGAUCGUAAAGCUCUGUUAUUAGGGAAGAACAUAUGUGGAAUUAGCUGUGCACAUCUUGACGGUACCUAAUCAGAAAGCCACGGCUAACUACGUG